rnacentral:rRNA from 1 species
GACGAACGCUGGCGGCGUGCUUAACACAUGCAAGUCGAACGGAAAGGCUCCUUGGGGGGUACUCGAGUGGCGAACGGGUGAGUAACACGUGAGUAACCUGCCCUUGACUUCGGGAUAACUUCAGGAAACUGGGGCCAAUACCGGUUAGGAAUCAUUUCUGCAUGGCGGUGGUUGGAAAGCUUCGGCGGUUUUGGAUGGACUAGCGGCUUAUCAGCUUGUUGGUGGGGUAGUAGCUUACCAAGACAUUGACGGGUAACCGGACUGAGAGGGCGACCCGCCACACUGGCACUGAGAGGCGGCCGAGACUCCUACUGGAGGCUGAAGUGCGGAAUCUUGCACCAUGGGCGGAAGCCUAUUGCAGCAACGCCUCGUGCGGGAUGACUGCCUUCGGAUUGUAAACCGCUUUCAGCAGUGACUAAGCUUGUGGUGACGGUACCUGCAGAAAAAGCACCGGCUAACUACGUG